AUCAACUUUCGAUGGUAGGAUAGAGGCCUACCAUGGUGGUAACGGGUAACGGGGUGUUAGGGCACGACACCGGAGAGGGAGCCUGAGAAACGGCUACCACAUCCAAGGAUGGCAGCAGGCGCGCAAAUUACCCAAUCCCGACACGGGGAGGUAGUGACAAUAAAUAACAAUACGGGGUUCUUUCGGAUUUCGUAAUUGGAAUGAGUACAAUUUAAAUCUCUUAACGAGGAACAAUUGGAGGGCAAGUCUGGUGCCAGCAGCCGCGGUAAUUCCAGCUCCAAUAGCGUAUAUUAAAGUUGCUGCAGUUAAAAAGCUCGUAGUUGAAUUUCGGGACCAAUAUGUCGGUCGUGCCUUGGUACGUACUGGCAUCGUUGGUUUCUCCCUUCUGACGAACCCUGAUGUCAUUUAUUUGGUGUCGUGGGGAAUCAGGACUGUUACUUUGAAAAAAUUAGAGUGUUUAAAGCAGGCUCACGCUUGAAUACAUUAGCAUGGAAUAAUGAAAUAGGACGUUUGAUUCUAUUUUGUUGGUUUCUAGGAUCGACGUAAUGAUUAAUAGGGAUAGUUGGGGGCAUUAGUAUUCAAUUGUCAGAGGUGAAAUUCUUGGAUUUAUUGAAGACUAACUACUGCGAAAGCAUUUGCCAAGGAUGUUUUCAUUAAUCAAGAACGAAAGUUAGGGGAUCGAAGACGAUCAGAUACCGUCGUAGUCUUAACCAUAAACUAUGCCGACUAGGGAUCGGGUGAUGUUAAUUUUUUAAUGACUCAUUCGGCGCCUUACGGGAAACCAAAGUGUUUGGGUUC
rnacentral:rRNA from 1 species